CGGGCCCCUCCCGAGGCCUGGUGUUCCGUGGCCUACAUUCCCCGCAUCGUCUACUUCGAGACCUAUGACGUCCACGGCGACAUGACCACGGUGCCCGGCGGAGGUUAUCGAGUCGAUCCGGAUGAACAAGGUCUGCCUCAAGGGCGGCCUCAGGACGCCGGUGGGCGGAGGGGUCAGCUCCCUCAACGUGUAGCUAAGAAAGGAACUCGAUCUUUACGCGUUGAUCAGAGAGAAUACCGAGGGGGAUUACUCCGGUCUGGAGCACGAGGUCGUUCCUGGCGUCGUGAAGAGUCUCAACGUAUGUGGCUUUCCAUUUCUGCCAAAGCUUUGUGAUAACAAAAGUUCUGUUCGAUCUAAUUGCCAAGUAUGCUUUCGAGGAUGCAUGCCAAUACUAUGAAGCUUGUAGAUGGACUGUUGUUAGAAUCAUGCCGUGAGGUUGCAAAAACAUAUCCAGGGAUAAAAAGUAUAAUGAGAUCAUUGUUGAUAACUGCUGUAUGCAACUAGCUUCAAAGCCUGGGCAGUCUGAUGUUAUGGUAUGCUGCAUCAUAUUUAGUUCACA